CAGCAGCCGCGGGAAUACGUAGGGUGCGAGCGUUAAUCGGAAUUACUGGGCGUAAAGCGUGCGCAGGCGGUUGUGUAAGACAGGUGUGAAAUCCCCGGGCUUAACCUGGGAACUGCGCUUGUGACUGCACAGCUAGAGUAUGGCAGAGGGGGGUGGAAUUCCACGUGUAGCAGUGAAAUGCGUAGAUACGCGGAGGAACACCGAUGGCGAAGGCAAUCCCCUGGACCUGUACUGACGCUCAUGCACGAAAGCGUGGGGAGCAAACAGGAUUAGAUACCCGGGUAGUCCCUGUCUCUUAUAC
rnacentral:rRNA from 1 species